rnacentral:rRNA from 1 species
GACGAACACUGGCGGCGUGCUUAACACAUGCAAGUGGAGCGACGAACCAGGGCUUGCCCUGGGGCAGAGCCGCGAACGGGUGAGUAACACGUGGGUAACGUGCCCCAAUGAUCGGGACAACCCGGGGAAACCCGGGCUAAUACCGAAUGUGCUCCCCUCACACCAGUGAGGGAUGGAAAGGAAGCUUCGGCCUCCGCAUUGGGAUCGGCCCGCGGCCCAUUAGCUUGUUGGUGAGGUAACGGCUCACCAAGGCUGCGAUGGGUAGCUGGUCUGAGAGGACGAUCAGCCACACUGGGACUGAGACACGGCCCAGACUCCUACGGGAGGCAGCAGUGGGGAAUCUUGCGCAAUGCGCGAAAGCGUGACGCAGCAACGCCGCGUGGGGGAAGAAGGCCUUCGGGUUGUAAACCCCUUUCAGGAGGGACGAAGCGUGGGCGGUUAAUAGCCGAUCCACGUGACGGUACCUCCAGAAGAAGCCCCGGCUAACUACGUGCCAGCCGCCGCCGUAAAAC